rnacentral:lncRNA from 1 species
UUAAAUUACCUUCCGUUCAAGACAUAUUCCUUUCCAUAAUUAUCAACAUGUAAUAAAGGCAACAUAAUUAAAAAUUUCAAGCGGAAGUCUUAACUUAUAUAAAAGCUGAAUAGAAAUGCGGAAAGUUUAACAUAAUUCUCUACCCCAGAUUGGUGUCACAAUGCUCACGAACUUCUAAGAUUUACUAAAUACGAUCGUCUGAAAGAAAAUUAUAAACUGUUUGUUUCGGUACAAAAGAUAACAAACUGAAUAAAGAGAGAGAGACUUCGGGCCUGCGGACGUCAGCAAGACUACCUCGGAGUCUCUGGACUGAAGUCAGCUCCCGAUCAAAUCCUACUGCUGAGGUCCAAAAGCUGCUCCUGGAUCUGUGCAAAAAGAUGCACAGAGUGUAGCAUCAGCACAACCGACCCCAUGUGCUGGUAAGUACCUGGCCUAACCCCGGCGAAGUAGUGACGAGGCUAGACAGGACCUACCAAAAACAACUUGUGCAGAUAUAUGCAAUAAAAAGAAAUAUACAGAAUUUAAACAGCUAAGAGGGGGGAAAGCAUGCUAUGGGGAGCUAACAGUUUCAAAUAGAAAUCCUCAAUAACAGAAAGAAAUAACAAAGCCAGAAUGUCAACAAGUAUUAAAAGUCACAAUAUAUACUGCAUCACCCUUCGUGCUUUUACUCUCGUCCUCACCAAAACAAUAUAUGGCAUCACCCUUCGUGCUCUACGCUCUUCCUCACCCAAACAAAAAUCACAAGGCAAAUAGGGUAAGGGAAUCUAUAACCUCGAAGUAAAUCAAAUAACAACAAGUAAUGAAAGAAACAACAUAACUCGGAUAUCAACAAAGAAUCAGAAAGCAACAAAUGCACGACAUCACCUUUCGUGCUUUUACUCUCGUCCUCACCAAAGCAAUCAUAUAAAUGAAAUGUGCAUGGCAUCACCCUUCGUGCUUUUACUCUCUUUCCUCACCAUAUAAUCAAUAAAAUUGGCACAGAAUGGUACAUCGUGCGGCACGACAUCACCCUUCGUGUUUUACACUCUUUCCUCACAAUAGCAAACAAUGCACGGUAUCACCCUUCGUGCUUUAUCACUCUUCCUCACCCAAGCAACAAUCACAAAUAAGGGGCAGGGGAUUAGACAAAUAAUAAUAGAAACCCCGGUAAGGGAAUACAAAUAAAUAGCUAACUCCCGGAAAGGGAGCACAAUUAAGCAGUUAAAACCCGGCAAGGGAACAAUAUCAAUAAUCUCAGCAUCCCGGCAAGGGAGAUAGUCAACAAAGCAACAAGCAUCCCAGCAAGGGAGCAAUUCAAUAAUUCUUUCUCUUUCUUUCACUUUUUACCUCUUAUCUCACUUUACCACCUNNNNNNNNNNNNNNNNNNNNNNNNNCUUCCUCAAACUCUUCACACUAUAUGAAAUUUAUCAAUUUAACAAGGAAGAGGUAUCACAAAAUUCGAAUAAACACAAAUAAGACUCACGGUCAUGCUAGACUCUGGUGUAUCGAUACUCGUCACCAUGCUUAUACGUCGUAUUCAACAAUUAUCACAUAUCAAAUAGGACUCGACUCAUAAUUCCUCAAGCUAAGGUUAGACCAAACACUUACCUCGCUAACAGAGAGUUUCUCCAACCUUGCAUCGUCUAGAACACCAAUCAAACGACCUCAAUCUAUGCAAAUAUUAAUUAACAAUGUCAAAUAUGUUAGUUGGAAUUACCUCAUACUUCUCGUACAAAAUUCAAUAAUUGGCUUACUAUCUAUUCAGCUAAUCCUUUAAUCACUCAUAUAUGUAAAACUCAUUAACUUAAAAAGGUUCCUAAGUAUACUGGACCUUACGUUUUGUUAAUAAACCCCUAGCUAUACGUGACUUAAAAAAACAUUCAAGUCUAUUUACAUGAAUAUGUAAUGUAACUAAUCUAUCAAUAAGGGAAUCUACAUGAAUAUGUAAUGUAACAUUCAAGUCUAUUUACAUAAAAUAUUACCAAGAUCACUGUGUUCCAACUCUUGUCAACGUUGUAAAUGAAUUCAGAGAAUUAACUUAUUCUUUUAUUAUAAUUACUUUGUUAUCAGAAAAGAUCUCCAAUAAAAUAAAUAAAAAUUUAUACCUGAUUUGCUAUUGAAAGGUACGAUACUAUACAUUGUCUGUUAAAGGCACAACGUGAUAGAUGAAACAUCAACAAAGAAAGAAAAACAAGAAAUAAAAAUAAAUUUAAAAAAAAAAUUGCUGACUCUUUACAUGCAUAACUGAAGCAUCUUCACUUAAUUAUUUCUCCUUAGUUUAAUCCAAAAUACAGUUAUGGGAUGAAUUUAACAAUAUACCUGGUCAACUCCACCAAAGACCCUCUACAGCCUUUUCUUCCUACUCGCAUGCGUCGGCGACUACUUGAAGCCCUUUUCUCUCUUCUUUAGGUAUUUGCGUAUCUAUUAGAACUAAAAGAACAAUUUUACUUAUUUACUCUACUUCAAACCUAGCAGCAACGUAAAAUGGGCUUGGCCCAAAUCUUUCGUGCCUAUUAUUCCAAAGCUAUUAUAUUGCUCCCUAGCCUAGGUAAUUAUAAAUUAUGCCUACUAACUAUUUAAUUAGUACGCAAUCUCACAUAUUAUAUUAAACCUGUACCGGGCUCCAGAACCAAAAUACGGGCCCGAUACCAACGAGAUCAAACAUUAAUCAAUUUCUUUAAAUCCUUAGAAUUUCAGUCUUACAAUUUUCAUCAAAAAUUUCUUUCUCGAGCUAGGGACCUCGAAGUAAAUUUCGGGCAUAUGCCCAAGUCCCAUAUUUUCCUACGGACCUUCUGGGACCAUCGAAUCACUGGUCCGGGUCCGUUUGCCCAAAAUGUUGACCAAAGUCAAACUUAUUCAUUUUAACAUCAAAACUUAGCAUUCUUCACAAAAUUUCAUAUUUACGUUUUCUGGCUACACGCCCGGACUACGCACGCAAAUCGAGGCGACUCUAAAUGAGGUUUUCAAGGCCUCGGAAGCACAAAAUGGAUAAGAAAACAGGUGAUGACCCUUUGGGUCGUCACAUUCUCCACCUCUAAAUCAACCCGAGGCUCCGCCACUGGUGCUGUUGCUCGGGGCUAAGCUCUGCCCUUACCUCGGCCUCGCCCUCAGCCCCUAGUGGAAGCUGCUGCUGGGGGCUCAGGCGGCUGAGCGGUAGAUGAGGAAGCGCAUGUUCUCGCCAUCUACGACAGAACAGAGUAGAAAUUCAAUUAGUAUUGGGGAAACAGAACCACACGACAAGAAAGAACAAAUGUGAAGUUUUCCUAACUCGGUAGCUUCUGCGGGAUAAAUACAGACGUCUCCGUACCGAUCCCUCAGACUCUACUGAUCUUGUCCGUGAGUUGUGAGACCUAUGUAACCUAGAGCUCUGAUACUAACUUGUCACGACCCGGAUUUCCCACCCUCGGGGUUGUGAUGGCGCCUACUAAUAGGAGCUAGGCAAGCCAACUUAAAUUACCUUUCGUUCAACACAUAUUCCUUUCCAUAAUUAUCAACAUGUAAUAAAGGCAACAUAAUUAAAAAUUUCAAGCGGAAGUCUUAAUUUAUAUAAAAGCUGAAUAGAAAUGCGGAAAGUUUAACAUAAUUCUCUACCCAAGAUUGGUAUCACAAUGCUCACGAACUUCUAAGAUUUACUAAAUACAAUCGUCUGAAAGAAAAUUAUAAACUGUUUGUUUUUGUACAAAAGAUAACAAACUGAAUAAAGAGAGAGAGACUCCGGGCCUACGGACGUCAGCAAGGCUACCUUGGUGUCUCUGGACUGAAGUCAGCUCCCGAUCAAAUCCUACUGCUGAGGUCCAAAAGUUGCUCCUGGAUCUGUGCAAAAAGAUGCACAGAGUGUAGCAUCAGUACAACCGACCCCAUGUGCUGGUAAGUGUCUGGCCCAACCCCGGCGAAGUAGUGACGAGGCUAGACAGGACCUACCAAAAAUAACCUGUACAGAUACAUGCAAUAAAAGGAAAUAUACAUAAUUUAAACAGCUAAGAGGGGGUGAAAGCAUGCUAUGGGGAGCUAACAGUUUCAAAUAGAAAUCCUCAAUAACAGAAAGAAAUAACAAAGCCAGAAUGUCAACAAGUAUCAAAAGUCAACAAUUUGCACGGCAUCACCCUUCGUGCUUUUACUCUCGUCCUCACCAAAACAAUACACGGCAUCACACUUCGUGUUUUACGCUCUUCCUCACCCAAACAACAAUCACAAGGCAAAUAGGGUAAGGGAAUCUAUAACCUCGAAGUAAAUCAAAUAACAACAAGUAAUGAAAGAAACAACAUAACUCGGAUAUCAACAAAGAAUCAGAAAGCAACAAAUGCACGGCAUCACCCUUCGUGCUUUUACUUUCGUCCUCACCAAAGCAAUCAUAUAAAUGAAAUGUGCACAGCAUCACCCUUCGUGCUUUUACUCUCUUUCCUCACCAUAUAAUCCAAAAUACAGUUAUGGGAUGAAUUUAACAAUAUACCUGGUCAACUCCACCAAAGACCCUCUACAGCCUUUUCUUCCUACUCGCAUGCGUCGGCGACUACUUGAAGCCCUUUUCUCUCUUCUUUAGGUAUUUGCGUAUCUAUUAGAACUAAAAGAACAAUUUUACUUAUUUACUCUACUUCAAACCUAGCAGCAACGUAAAAUGGGCUUGGCCCAAAUCUUUCGUGCCUAUUAUUCCAAAGCUAUUAUAUUGCUCCCUAGCCUAGGUAAUUAUAAAUUAUGCCUACUAACUAUUU